GGGGGGAGCGAGCGUUGUUCGGAAUCACUGGGCGUAAAGGGCGCGUAGGCGGCCGGAUAAGUCAUGUGUGAAAGACCGGGGCUCAACUCCGUGUAUUGCAUGCGAUACUGCCCGGCUAGAGUAAGGUAGAGGCGAGUGGAAUUCCCGGUGUAGCGGUGGAAUGCGUAGAUAUCGGGAAGAACACCUGUGGCGAAGGCGGCUCGCUGGGCCUUUUCUGACGCUGAAGCGCGAAAGCGUGGGGAGCAAACAGGAUUAGAUACCCUGGUAGUCCACGCCGUAAACGAUGGGCAUUAGGCGUUGGGAGGAUUGACCCUCUCAGUGCCGUAGCUAACGCGUUAAAUGCCCCCGCCUGGGGAUACGGCCGCAAGGCUG
rnacentral:rRNA from 1 species